rnacentral:rRNA from 1 species
UAGAGUUUGAUCCUGGCUCAGGAUGAACGCUGGCGGCGUGCCUAAUACAUGCAAGUCGAACGAACUUCCGUUAAUUGAUUAUGACGUACUUGUACUGAUUGAGAUUUUAACACGAAGUGAGUGGCGAACGGGUGAGUAACACGUGGGUAACCUGCCCAGAAGUAGGGGAUAACACCUGGAAACAGAUGCUAAUACCGUAUAACAGAGAAAACCGCAUGGUUUUCUUUUAAAAGAUGGCUCUGCUAUCACUUCUGGAUGGACCCGCGGCGUAUUAGCUAGUUGGUGAGGCAAAGGCUCACCAAGGCAGUGAUACGUAGCCGACCUGAGAGGGUAAUCGGCCACAUGGGACUGAGACNNGGCCCAGACG